UAGGGAAUCUUCGUCAAUGGACGAAAGUCUGACCGAGCAACGCCGCGUGAGUGAAGAAGGUUUUCGGAUCGUAAAACUCUGUUGUUAGAGAAGAACAAGGACGUUAGUAACUGAACGUCCCCUGACGGUAUCUAACCAGAAAGCCACGGCUAACUACGUGCCAGCAGCCGCGGUAAUACGUAGGUGGCAAGCGUUGUCCGGAUUUAUUGGGCGUAAAGCGAGCGCAGGCGGUUUCUUAAGUCUGAUGUGAAAGCCCCCGGCUCAACCGGGGAGGGUGAUUGGAAACUGGGAGACUUGAGUGCAGAAGAGGAGAGUGGAAUUCCAUGUGUAGCGGUGAAAUGCGUAGAUAUAUGGAGGAACACCAGUGGCGAAGGCGGCUCUCUGGUCUGUAACUGACGCUGAGGCUCGAAAGCGUGGGGAGCAAACAGG
rnacentral:rRNA from 1 species